rnacentral:rRNA from 1 species
UACGUAGGGUGCGAGCGUUGUCCGGAAUCAUUGGGCGUAAAGGGCUCGUAGGCGGUCCAUCGCGUCGGGAGUGAAACGCUGGGGCUUAACCCCAGUCCUGCUUUCGAUACGGGUGGACUAGAGGUAGGCAGGGGAGAAUGGAAUUCCUGGUGUAGCGGUGAAAUGCGCAGAUAUCAGGAGGAACACCGGUGGCGAAGGCGGUUCUCUGGGCCUGUACUGACGCUGAGGAGCGGAAGCGUGGGGAGCGAACAGG